GGCCACAUCACGUUGAAACAUUAGUUCCCGUACGAUCACUGAAGUUAAGCAAAGUCGAGACUGGCCAGUACCUAGAUGGGUGAACGCUUGGCAAUGUCAGGUGUUGUAAG